GCAGUUACCUCGGCAACCGCCGCGGCUUCCCGCGCCCAUUCCCCACCCUCGGCUACGGCGAGCGGCGAGCGGCAGAAAGAGACGGUGCCGGCGGGGGGGGGCGAAGAGCCCCCUUCUUUUCCCUGCAGAGCCGGGGCCAGCAAGGGUUCAAUAAUUAUUCAGAAUCUGAAGUGGAAGAAGCUGCAUAUCACCAGCUGCUGAACCACCUGAGGACUACACACCUAUAGUUGAAUCCCCACCAUCACUGGAUGAUUUACCUGGCGUGGAAGCACCAGCAUCUGCAGCCCAGCCAUAUGUAGUGGAAUUGCCAUGUCUGCAGACCACCUGGCUGUCAAGAAACCAACACAUUCUGAGUACCACUUCCUGCACAUUGUAUAGUCUGCAUCAGGGAAAGCUCACCUGAGAUCAAACUGUGGGCGAACUUCCAUGUUUCAAAGUCAAGAUGUACACCUCUGAAUCCACACAGGAUGGCACUAACACUAUUGCGACUGUGUUGUCAGCAGCAGAGAUUACAUUUGAAUCAUUGGAGAAUCCGGAAGCUUUUGGAGACCCCUAUCAAGUCGCCAUUAAUUAUGUGGAGGAACAUAAAAUUCUACAGAUAUUUCAGGAUAUCACGGAAAAACUGCUGAUCCAAAAGCCUGAUGACCCCUUGCAGUUCAUAUUGCAGGAGGUGCAGUCUAUGAUAAAUGCCAGGCAAGCAGAACCGGAGAGACUAUUGGAAUAGAACAAAGAUGUGUAGGUGUUUCUAGAAGAGGGCCUGCGUACUCCUUUUGGCCCCCAUUGACCUUGCUGUUGUGGUAUUGCCACAACAUGACUUCAGAACACCAUGUAGUCAUUGGCAAUAACUUGAAAAAGAUCUGCUUGUCUGUCUCUUGCCUGUUUUCUCUGUUUUGUAUGCUUGUGCUUCUCCUUGGGUUUGAAUCCAGCAGCCAAGUUUUGCUUUGGAAUCACAGACUGAGAUCUAAAUGUGCAUAGAUCUGUAUGCACAUAUGGCACAUCUUGAAGAGGCAGGUCUGCUGAAUUUCUUUGCAUAUAAAUGCAUAAAUCUUAUAUUUAGGCCACUCCAGAUUCUGCCUUUCUGUGCAGCUCAGACAAUGCAAGAACAAAAGCAAAUAGAGUCAAAAAGCAGCCCUGGACAACCCACCGCCUUCUUUUUAUAAGCAUUGGUGGCUUACUGUGUCCAAUUAUGCAGCAGCACCAAUGCCUAUUUAAUAUGCUGGUAGUUUGUGUCUGGGCUUUCACAGUGCUUCCAGAGCUCCUCUAAUGCAAAAAGCUGUCUCUCUGCCUCUUCCAAACACUGUAUACAGCUGUCUCACCCUUAAUCAUCACUGUUGGACACUGAUCACUCUGCUUUUUGAGGUUGCCCUGCCUAUGUCAUUGUAAGUACAGUGUAUAACCAGAACAGUAAAGCAACAGCUGCGCACACCCUUCAUGCUUUCAGAAGAUAUUGUCACUCAGGAAUGUGGGAGGUGAAUAAAAGCAAACAAAUCAAAAUCAAGCACUGGUAGCCCAGAGAAUUGAGUGUCAAGGUACAUUUCGCAAGCACAUUAUUUGAACUGUGUUUGAUUUUUGAAACACUUACAAUCCUUGUUUUCAUACUAUCCAAGUGUCUGUUUCUACCCUGUAAAAAUCUUUUUUAUUUCUUUUUCAUGUCUCUUGCCUGACAAUUAUUGUAAAUGUGCAACAGAGCAUACAGUUAUUUAGGCUUAAUAGAUUGUCUGUGUGCAGUAGAUGCCAGAAAGGAUUUUUAUGUCACUAUAGGAUUUUCUUUUUUUAGGCAAGUGCUCUAAUUUCCUGAUGAAUGGUGGUGUAUUCCCAAAUGACUGUCUCUGUGGUAUGAAGAGAGCAGCAUAAAAACAUCCAUCUAUCUAUUUUUUAAAAAAUAAUAAAUGAUGAUUGGGUUAUGAGAUUCUCCACAGCACAGCUUGGGCACCAAAAGUCUGGGAAUAACAGAGGGCAGGUAUUUGGCAUACAAAUUCCAUGUGUGAGAUGAGUUUCCUUUCUGAGUUUCUCAAAAAGGAUCUGUUAACUCAUGUGUUUGAAGACUGAAGGCAGGUAAGCACCCUUGUCAUUCAUAGGGGAGGGAUUUUUUCAAGAUUAUUGUGAGUCUAAAGAUGGUUCAAGAGUCAGAUUAAAUCUUCAUUGGUUUUAUAACAGUUUUAAAUGUAGAUUUAGGCAUAUAGGUCCCACUGCAGAAGUGAGAUGCUUUUGAAAUCCCUACUUAUCUCCAGCAACUGGAAAAGUCCGACACUUGGAAUCUGAGGUUGAUCUGCUUACAAAUUCUUAACCAAAAAUAUAUCAGGGUGAAAAACAAUGUAUAUGU